CAUAACAUCGUUCACAGCAGCGUUCUCGCCCGAAGAAUUCUACCCCGCGGCGAAUAUAUCUUCUCCUACGCAGGAAACUCGGGCGCUGAGAAGGAGGAGGAGGAGGAGAUGCGGGACGCGGCAGCGAGGGCCUUCUUCUCCGAUGGGCUGGCCGGAACUUCGGAGCAUGACCCCGAUGGGCUCUCGCUCCAAUUUACUUCAACUGAGGAGACCCUCGACGUCGACGUGGCCCCGAUCGAUUUAAUAUCCGGCCUCGAGAGAAUUCCAUCCCGUCGGAAUCUGUUCUCUACUGUUUGGCCAGACAGAGAGGGUGGGGGGGGGGCCACGCAGGAGGCGGCGGUGAGGGCCUCGUUGGAGGGAGGAUUUUUCUCUCUCAGCAGGGGGGAGAAAGACGAUCGGCGGGGGCUCGCCGGCGGAUCGGCGGCGGUCGGUAUGUCUCCGUUGCGACACCUUUACUGCGCUUCCCUACCCCUCCCCUCCCCUCCGGCGGGAUUUGACAGAUAUUAGGCUCUGCGCGGAGUGUGGAAGGAGGACGGGGAUUCGGCUCUGCGCCCCCCCUCUCCUUGCCUGUCGCCAGAGAGGAAGGAGGCCCCUCGCCGGAGAGGAGCUUCUUAUCCCACCGGGAGCCUCUGCGAUGUUGGGAAGUCAUCGUCUGUCUCCACCUUUCGGGUCGCGUCGGUUGUCCUCCUCACCGCAUCUGCUGCGGCAGGGGCCGCCGCCGGCGUAUGCAGAGAGAAUGAUUCCCCGGGAUGCGCCGCUGUGGCGGCGCCCGGGCGGCGCCGCCUUCCCCCGCCACCGUCAAUCACGAGGGUGGAGAGUUCAGCCGUCUGAUUAGGAUCUAAAGAUUUGGAUCGUCUCUGUUCUGAUGCUUGAUCUUGGACCGUCCAUUCAGCAGGAAAUCGACACCCCUGCGGAUGGGCUACGUGCUGGUGAUCUCUCUUCCCGUGAUCCUCCUCGUGGCCAUUCUUGCCUUGGCCUGCUACCUAUUGGGCCGGGCCCGUGGACGGAGCGAGGCGAGUCGGCCCACUCAAAUAUAUGGGCCCCCGGCGCCUCCACCACAGGUCUUCUAUCCGCCCCCUCCUCUGGCCCAGGCCCAUUCCAAAUCCUGACUCCCCGGCGUCAACGGGGGUUUGCUAUGAAGUGGGCUCUUACUGGGCCCCUCUAUAUUUCUAGAUACAGUCGUGAUUAUCCUCGAUGUACCAUGUGACGUAUUUAUGCCUCGAUUAAAUAAAUAAAAGUUUUCGGUGGUCUCAUUCACUCCACAUCCCCCUACCAAACUACCCCUCCCCCUCUCUC
rnacentral:lncRNA from 1 species